rnacentral:lncRNA from 1 species
AAGCUUCAAGGCUACAUCAUUACUCAAAAACAAUGCAAGACCAAUUAAUUGGAAUCAGAAUCUGACAUCGGCAUCUGGUAUGCAUCUUUCGGCUCUAUAUCGGAAAUGGAAGGAGGUACAUUCCUUUUCAACACAUUUCUUCUUCGUUCUCUUCGUUUUUCUGUAGUUUCAUCCUGUAAGGAGACACAUCACAGGCAGAAUUACCUGUUUAAGUACUUUAAAAACAAAAAUUUGCAGAGAUUGAAAGCAGGACUAUGAUUUGAAAAGCCAUACGCGACUAAAACUAGUAGUUAAAGCAUAACAAAGAAAAAAGAAAGAGAGAGAGAGAGAGCUACAAUGCAAUCAGAAGAGCUUCAACAAGUGCACUUGAAAAUUAGAUCUUAGAAUUAUCACCGUGUGAUGUGAGUGGUCCACUUACCUUCUCCAAACCUGAUUCACUCGGUUGACUUGACUGACCACGAUGAGCUGGUUGACUUCUCAUGAGCCAUACAGCACCGAAAGACAUCAAAGCCCCCAAAAGUAAUAUUGGGCCAAUCCUUGGAUCUCCCAUGUGAUCAUAAAUUCUGCUUUUAAUUCUGUAGAUCCAGUGCUUGACACCCACACUUUUGUAUAGAAUAUUUUGGGCACCUCUUGACCAGAUAGGAUCUGAGUCUUCAGGAACAAGAUCAGGAGCUUUUAUUUUCUGCAUUCGAGACAAACAAAUGUUUAACAAAGAAUUCAAAAGAAAAACAUCAGCAAAGCUCCAGAAAAUAUUUGACCAUUAUCAUUACACCACAUAGUGAAGGACCAUUUCCACCAACUCUCUAUAUCAGAUGAUGUUUAUGGCUCCAAUAUUUUCUGUAUAUCUCCAUAAUUCAAAAAUAAAAUUUUCGAGUUAAAUAUAAUGUUAUUUCAAACGUUAGGCGUGUUCACUGAAAUGGAAAAUCAAUUGAUUAUAAUAUUAGUGGAAUAGCAGAACCAACGGCUUAUGCCAAACAACCAAGUGUUACAUUGAAGGACAAAUGCCCACCAUCUUCUAAUGGGGGCUAAAAAACAAAACCAGUUAAAGUUUGUACUUAGUAGCACCUUUCUAUUUCUGAUUAUUGGAAGUCUGGUCAUAUUCCCACGUGAAGUGGACGAUGGACAUUAUCACAAAAUUAUGCUCCUCACAAAAGUUGUUCAUAGGGGGGUUCAUGGGGGGGAAAAAAGAAGAGGGACACUUACAAAGAAGGGAAGAUCCCUGGUCUCACCAUCACUAAUUGUUUCUGCAAUCCAUCGAGCAAUCUGUAGUUAGAAAAAGCAAAAACUUAGUGAGAAAUGUUUAAAUCCACAAAAUCAAAUUUCCUGCUAUUUGAAAUACAUCUAAAAUAAAAUCUUAUAUAUAAACAACCAAAAAUCUGUGAUAACUGAUCAAUUAUUAAUUUUAAUCUAACAAAUAUGACUUCGCUAUGAACUGCAUAUACCUGUGGAGUUUCAUCCGAACCAUUGUAUCUUGCUACAAGCUGUGAUGCAGGAUCUGCAUCUUCAUCAUCGAAUGCAUUUCUUUUACCCCUGACAUUAUCUUGAGUAGUAUUCCUUUUGUAACGUACAAUAAAUAACCUAGGCACAUCACUCAGAUCCCUCCUCGGUCCGCAGGUGUCAUAGCUGGUUUCUGAAUGAAGGUAGAAGAGACAAUAUUUCUGUGUAGAGCUCCACAAUGUUAGUGGCUCCAGACCAAAAAACUAAAAGCUUACUUAUUGUAAACAAAGUUACAAUCCUAUAAAGAUCUGGAUCUUCAACCAAUAGUAUAUGCAUAUAUGAAAUGGAAAAUAGAUUGCAAGGUUAUCAAGAGUCAACAAAGAGAAAAUGGCAAAAAGUUUAUCAUUAUCCUCAUCAUUUUUACAAUUGAUUUGCCAUGGGGGAAAAUUUAUGGUGAAAAUGAUAAACAUGAUACUGAUCAUUGCAAUAAAGAAGAAUUUUAGCAAAUUACAAGUAAAUACAUUCCAUGGCAUAUCUAGGAUCAUAAGAAAAAAAGAGUAAAUUAGAGAUUGUAAAUCUAUCUCCUUGGCCAAUUUAGAUGUGCAUGAUGAUUCUUUAUUGUAGAAUAUAGAAGCCAGCCAACGUGUGCAAUUUUAAUUGCACAAUUAGAUGCCAGGAACUUGGUGACUCUUGUUGCUUCAUCCUAUUAAUUCCAAGUAAUUAUCUAAUAUGCUAUAAUUCAUGUCAUGGCAUGCAUAAACUUCAUGAUAUUUGUUGACCAGCUCUUUGCAUAUUCAACAGAACUUGGUCUAAAAUCAACAGCAUCAUUUAAAAGAGACAACUCACCUCUUGGGCUUCACCAUCAAGCCAAGCAAAUGUCAGUCGUUUGUUUUUCAGUGCAGUUGCCAGCAAUAAGGAUUGGUCAUCAUCAACAUCACUCAAUUUUCCAUCACUUGAUAAUAGUUCUCCUACCCUGCGCAUGGUCUAUGAGC